rnacentral:lncRNA from 1 species
GGAGAAUUUACAAUUAUGCUAGAGAUUCUGUGGUUGAAUGCUGCUUAUUAAAUUAUUUCUAGACAGUAUAAAAAUAGUAAACAAUCAGGUUUUUUUUUAAAUGACUUGCAAAGAUAAGGUUACAUUUUGUGACAUGAUAGCCUUUUUUCUAUAGCAACAAUUUCAAUAAAAAAAAUCUGAUGAAAGCAACAGCCUUAAAAUGAUUGAAUAAUUGUUGAAUUUUGGCCAACAAUGAAAAUUGAUUUCAAACCAAAAACUCAGACUGAGUGUAUGUAUUUCACUUAAAAUAAAAUAAAAAAUAUAGAAAUAGACACGCCCACCGGUUUAAU